GUAAAUCGUGCGUCUUACGGUGGCCACGUUAAUGAGGAACACCGGAUGAUCGACGCCCGAUGCGGGGAAAUCGGUCGAGGUUCGUUCCCUUUGGCUCGUUGACGAAAGUGAGAAGACAAUUUCACGAUUUCCUGCGGCCUCCGGCGCUGCUCACCGCACAGUGAUAAUGUGAAAUGACAAAAUCAAAGUUCUUUUGGUAGAAACGAGAUAAAACGAUGUUAAUUUGUCCUUGCGUUAAAGUUGAAACGUUUGUAGCGGACCCAAACGUUUGUGUGGGAGGGGAGGAAUCUUCGGACGCGGAAAUUCUAACCUUCUCAUGCGCGUGCCGUACGCGCCGGGACUCAAGCCACAGAUACAUGAUGCAGAUUGUACGAAACUGACCGCUGGAAGAUUCGAAAUUGACUAAAAACCACGGGCAAAAGAAUGAAUCCGGACGGCGCCGCAGCAUUCGAAGGUGAAACUCAUCCAGCAGCAAAAGGAAGGAGCGCUUGUACGAGAAUCUUUCGGCGAGAUUAUGUAUGUCGGCGAGCGCAUUCCUCCAAAAAGUAAAUGAACCGCGUGUAUUUGUUAAACAGCCGAUCUCGAAGCAUGCGCGUGCGUAGAGCAAACGUUUCCUUGAUGAAAACGAGAUAGGGCCGCGCGCGCACCACGGGCCCCCCUAUAAAAUUCCACGUGGAACGUGACACGAUUCAAUUGUAGAGGGAGACGAAUGCAUUUGUCACAAGAGGACGUCCGUUUUAACGGCCUACCACUUAUCAAGAUUGGCACAAUUCCGUUACUGCACGCUUCGGAGAGUAGUCGGGCCAUAUUCCGGUCGAUGCGUCUUCCACCAAAAGAGUGCAACACGAUCUUCUUAACGACGGCCCGAGGGAUUAUGGUUGCGCGGUCACGCAGAUUCGCGAUAAACGUAACAAUAAUUACUCCGGCAAUAGAUCAAAUCUUCAAUAAUGGCCGCCGGUGGUCCUCGAAGACCGAGAACCCCGAAAAACCAGCCGGUUUGAUCAUUUACGUAAUUCCUAUGCGGCUUCAUACAUAUCAAUUACACAAACGCAAUUAUUAUAGUGUGUAAUAUUCAGAGAGAACCGUCGAGAGGAACCUUCUGUACCCUUUGGUGUACUUUGUACCAAAAUAUGCAAACAUGUAAUUUGGUUGUGGACGUAACGAAAGAUCAGUAUUUAUUAUUCAUUUUUUCGAUUAUUUAAGUGUUUAAUAUAUGGACGGUUGAGAAACCAAUCGGUCCAUUUUUAAGACAUAAGCCCACUUUUCUUUAAAAAGGGACAAGCAAGGGGCUAACUUGCAAAUGUAUGCGCACGAAUAUCGCUGCGCAAAAAAACAAAAUAAUCGCUUUGGCUAGUUCUCCUGCCUUCAGGAUAGAGUAGGUAUUACUACGGUCUCUCAAUGAAGGCGAAGUUUGGCAGAAAAAAUAAGACCUUUCACGCCAAUAAAUUGAUAAUUUGAGAUA